AGACCACCUUCCCAAAGCAGCAUGUUGCCCCAUUCUGACCCUGAGAGCACCUGGCAGGUAUGUGGAAAAAAGAAAUGUGCAUUAAAACAGUCUAUUUCCUAUCAUUAAAUACUUACAAGAAGAAAAAGAUAAAAAGAAAGAGCCAAUGGAUGUAGGAAGCUUUGGGACCUCUCCUCUCCAGCUAUUUGAGAGAUACUGCUUCCCGCAAACAGUUUGCCUCUGUGAUUCUUAUUUACCUCUACCUUUUCCAUGAGAUUGAGAACACUAUAAGAAAGCCUACAAAUGCUAUGGUUGCACAUACAGAAAAAUCCAAGACCUCAGAGACUUCUUCCCAUCACUCUUUGAUGUAACUGAUUUCUCCCCAUCAGUAUCCUGAUCAUCUGGUUCCUUCAUUUCCUCUGAUCUGGACACUUUCCAGAAGAGAGGAACUACCAAUUCACCUAUCGGGGACAUUCAUUGUAUUCCUUUAAGACAGUCGAAGUUUGGGUUCUAGACCAUGUUCUACAUUCUAUUAGUAAACUAGCUAGGUUUGGAAGUCUAUUUGCAGGACUAGCAUAAAUUUCGUUUCAUUAGAUCCAGGCUUAUUCGUCCAGACUACAGCCAAUUCUUUCAACUAACUCAUUAGAUAGACUGUGCAGUUUUGAGUUGUGAAAGUUGUCAGAAUUAGAAUGGAGUCACCAGUGUUAAGAAAGAACCCUGACAAAUAGAGCUGGGGAAGGCUAUGAAGAAUGGGUUCUCAUGCUUGUAUGCUGGAUAACUAUCCCAAAAGACUGCAAAGACCACAGCCUUGCACAAAAGCCAUCACAACUUUACACAUAAAAAAAAAUAUUUCUACAAGGACAUCUGCCCAACAAUUGCCUGUCCAACCUCAGACUAGCAUCACACUUAUUGUUGAUCUUUGUAGCCAAGGAUAAUUAUCUCAAAAUAAUUAUGUAGUCUUUUUCAUUUUUCCUUUAAAACCCUUGUUUUCCUUUACCUCCCUAAAUACACAUAUAGUUUACCAUGGCACGCAUAUUCCAUUGCAAUGCCUUACUCCCGAAUAAACAUCAUCUUCUUUUAG